rnacentral:lncRNA from 1 species
GGAUUGAGAAGCUUCUUUUGUACGCUUUCUCUCUCAUCUCUCAUCAUUCAUUAUGUUGACCCUCUCUCUCCAAAGUUCAUCCGCAUUCUAAACAAAACCUAGAUCAAAAUUCCUCUGCCUCUUUAUCUCUCUCAAUCCUGUGUUAAAUCGAUCUUCAAGACGCAAUAAUCUUCCACUGACGUGAAUCGAUCUUUAUCUCUCUCAAUACUCUGCGACAAUCUUCAAUCGAUCUUCAUAUCCGAAUACCCUACUAUUCACGGUUUCGUUUUCCCAUCGAACUUGAAGGUUCAUGAUGUUACUUUUUCGCCUUUAUACUCUGAUGUUGAUUCGGUGGGGCCUUGUGAUUGGUCCGAUAGUGAUUCUGCCGAAAGCAGAGAUUGGGAGGUGCUCUUGCUUGAUGAUGGUCCUACAGGCGAUGAGUCAUAGGUAGGGGCUUCAGUGAAGAUGUAAUUGACCGGGAGCUUCGGUGCGCCUGAGGCUGGAUAAGAUACAAAUGAAAUAUAUGCCCAAAUCACUUUACUCCCUGCAGAUCAAAGUGAUCCUACAAGUCUUGAUGAAUGCCUAGCCAACCUCCGCAAGGCCAACCAUACACUCUUUCUGCAAAGUCUUCAUAACUUCAGAUAUGAGCAGACAUGGACAUGACUCAAGCUACUCCUACCCAAGACUUAUUAGCCCUUGAUCUACAUGGCACAGAGUGGAAAUUUAAGCAUAUCUUUAUGGGUCAACCAAGAAGGUAUCUACUUACAACAUGACGGAGUACCUUAGAUACUAGCAAGAGAUUAGUGCUUGGGGAUUCAAUGGAGAUCUAUAAUACUCAUGAGUUGGCUUUUCUUAUUUAUUAGGCCACUCGGUUCACUUAAGUUACGUUUUAAUGAGUUGUAAAUCUUUAUAGAUUUAUCCAACGUUGGAUAUUAAUAAAUGUUUAUUCUACGAUGUUUAUUUAGGGUGGAUGGAUUUGAAUCAAAAUAAUAUGUUUUUGGUUGAAGCCCGCGUAUUACGCGGGCCUUAACCUAGUUAUAUAUAAAUCUAUCUGUUAUAAGGGGAGGGGGUGGUCACUAGUGAUAAAAUUUCAUCACUCACAAUAUCCAAUCAUGUUCCGCCAUGUCGGCAACCAUUU